UAACGGCGUAACGAUAUCCAAAUCAAUUGAAUUUUUGUUAGAAAAUUCUUUAAACUAUUUAAAACAAGAUCUAUACUCUUGAUCUUGAUUACAAGACUCCUAUCAUCAUUUUUUAAAGAGUAUUUAUUUUCAGUCAUACAUUUUUCUGUUCACUUGAUGGAUAAAAGAACAAUAUUGAAAUUGCGUGAAAUUUGAUUUCUAGAUAGUUUAAAUGGUUUAGAUCAUAUUUAGCGGAGCCGAUCGUCAAUUUGGAAGCUCUAUCAUCGAAAACAAAUCGGUAGUAAAACGGCUCGUUUACUACCGAUAGUAUUCUAGCUCAACUCUCUCUCUCUCUCUCUCUCUCUCUCUCUCUAUAUAUGCAACGACCAAAUCCGUUAGCAAAAAUAACUCGUUGGGCCUAAAACAUAGGCCCAAAAUGCUUAAGCCCAGUUAUUAUUACUAGCGGCUCGAAUCGUUGCAAUUGGUAUCAAAGCUGAAUACCAGUCGGAAAUAUAAGAGCUAAGUGCUAUGCGGGACUACAAAGUGCUACAUCAACGGAUUUGGUGGAAGCCAUCUCUUGAACCCGUAGGAGCCACCUCUAGAAUCUCACAUCCUCUGGUAAUUCUGGUCUUGGUCUGUCAGUGAUCUGGUUUGGACCCCGACAAGAACAUCAGGGUCUAAACAGGGAGAGUUUGUAAUGCUCCAAUAGUCCCACAUCGAAUGAGAUACUGAUUCCGAUCAGUUUAUAUGAGGCCUACACACUAAUAAUAAUAAUUGGGUUUAAGCAUUUUAGACUGGUGGUUUAGGCCCAAAGAGUAAUUAUUGCUAGCAGGUCGAUUCGUUGCAAUAUAUAUAUAUAUAUAUAUAUAUAUAUAUAUGUGUGUGUGUGUGUGUGUAUAAAUUAAAUAAAUCAAGUUG
rnacentral:lncRNA from 1 species